rnacentral:miRNA from 1 species
CACCAAAUGAAACACAUUUACUGG